AAACUAACAAGGAUUCCCCUAGUAGCGGCGAGCGAAGCGGGAAGAGCUCAAAUUUAUAAUCUGGCACUUUCAGUGUCCGAGUUGUAAUCUCUAGAAGUGUUUUCCGCGUUGGACCGCACAUAAGUCUGUUGGAAUACAGCGGCACAGUGGUGAUACCCCCGUUCAUGGUGCGGACGCCCAGCGCUUUGUGAUACACUUUCGAAGAGUCGAGUUGUUUGGGAAUGCAGCUCAAAUUGGGUGGUAAAUUCCAUCUAAAGCUAAAUAUUGGCGAGAGACCGAUAGCGAACAAGUACCGUGAGGGAAAGAUGAAAAGCACUUUGGAAAGAGAGUUAACAGUACGUGAAAUUGUUGGAAGGGAAACGCUUGAAGUCAGACUUGCUUGCCGGACUUGUUCGGUUUGCAGGCCAGCAUCAGUUUUCCGGGGUGGAAAAGGGUGGUUAGAAGGUAGCAGCUUCAGCUGUGUUAUAGCUUUCCACUGGAUACAUCCUGGGGGACUGAGGAACGCAGCGUGCUUUUAGCGGGGGUCUCGACCCCUUCACGCUUAGGAUGCUGGUGUAAUGGCUUUAAACGAC
rnacentral:rRNA from 1 species